GGUAGCCGCGCCGACUCCUGGCGGCCGGCCGCGCGAGGCACGCCGGGUAGCGCGUUGGCCAAGGAGCCGACUCAUGCAUGGCAGCGCUCGAUCCUUUUCUAGCCGGCGGACGAAGCGCGGGCUCCUCAAGGUCGAUGGAGUGCUGGGCAUGGCGGGAGAACUUAACCCACUUCGCGUCUCCCGUUCUUCGUUGAAAGAAAUGCAAACGGGGUUUCUGCCAGGCACCGUGAUGGUGCGCUAAGAUGACGUCACGGCCAGCGAAAUUGCUAGAAACGUCUGGCCCAUUGCUCACGGUCCCGGUAUCCUCCCCACCUGGUCCCCGUGGGCGUCUGCUUAUGAAAUAGCGGCGAGCUACUUUAUUUUAAUAAGCGUAGUGUUGGUGCCCGGGUGGAAGGAGUUGCGAUUGCCUUGUCUUGUGCUCGGGGCUUGAAAGCUAAACCCAUGGAGAAAGGUCUUUAAAGGACCGCGAAACAGACGCCAGUGAGCAACCAAUGCAUCCACAGGUGCUCACUGUUUCAGUGAGGCCUGAGCUUCCCUCCCUGGAGUCAAACCGGUUUGGUCAGAUAGGGCAACCCAUAUUGUCUGUCUUCCAAGCUGCGUGGGGGCAGAAACAGAAUGCCUAGGACUGUCCGCCCAGCGGGUAGGAGUUAGCCUAGAUGAUGUGUGCCUUUUGUAUUCUGUCCAAUUAAGUUACUGUACACCUCGGGCUUGAGGUGGCAUCAGAGAUAAUGGCUGAAAAAGUAUUUUCGGCAUAAUGUAGGCACACAUAAGUUAUUUCACAUAUGGAUCCCACGUCAUUUAUUCGUAAAGAUAACGUGUAAUACAGUCCAGCACUUUAUAUUAACCAGCAUUGCACAAAUGUGAACUCUUGACAGUGUACCGUGACCCAAAUAUGCAAAGGCAUUCCAUAGUUCUGCUCUUGGGCCAUCGAACCCUGUUCUAUGAUUAACUGUGGUUGCAUAAACACUUCUUAGCAGAGCUCUUUGAAAUCUGGGUCAGAGUUUCAAAGUAUAAAAUGGCAAUACGGCGUCACUUGAUAUCACUUACAUUUCUGCCAGCAUUGUUCAAUCACAGGAAGAAGUUAUAAGCGUUAUGUCUAGGUGUGAGAAAAUUGUUACUUGGGGUAGAAAGUUCCCCCCAUUAGGCAAGCAAGGAUUUUGGAAUUUUCAUAUAUAUAUAUCUUUCCAACUUUAUUAGUUCCCCUGUUGUAUGGUUUCCCUCCAUGCUGUAUUCUCCCUAAGCACUAACCCAGGCUGCCUUCCAUGAUGAACCACCCCACACACACACCUUCCCCCUCUAACUUUCUGUUUUCACAUCACAUUCCCCUGAAAGUCUUCACUCCAUUGUCCUUUAGAAUCCCAAUCUGUUCUGCUCUGAUAAAUAAAUUAGUUGUAGAUAACAUCUACUGGUGUGUUUAUAGAA
rnacentral:lncRNA from 1 species